GAUGAACGCUGACGGCGUGCCUAAUACAUGCAAGUCGAGCGAACAGACGAGGAGCUUGCUCCUUUGACGUUAGCGGCGGACGGGUGAGUAACACGUAGGUAACCUACCUAUAAGACUGGGAUAACUUCGGGAAACCGGAGCUAAUACCGGAUAAUAUUUCGAACCGCAUGGUUCGAUAGUGAAAGAUGGCUUUGCUAUCACUUAUAGAUGGACCUGCGCCGUAUUAGCUAGUUGGUAAGGUAACGGCUUACCAAGGCAACGAUACGUAGCCGACCUGAGAGGGUGAUCGGCCACACUGGAACUGAGACACGGUCCAGACUCCUACGGGAGGCAGCAGUAGGGAAUCUUCCGCAAUGGGCGAAAGCCUGACGGAGCAACGCCGCGUGAGUGAUGAAGGUCUUCGGAUCGUAAAACUCUGUUAUUAGGGAAGAACAAACGUGUAAGUAACUGUGCACGUCUUGACGGUACCUAAUCAGAAAGCCACGGCUAACUACGUG
rnacentral:rRNA from 1 species